rnacentral:tRNA from 1 species
GCGCGGGUGGUGGAAUUGGUAGACACGUACGUUUGAGGGGCGUAUGGAGCGAUCCAUGAGGGUUCAAGUCCCUCCCCGCGCA